CUGAGAAAGGACCCAACACAGCCGCUGGCCUUCACACCCUGGGGCCGGGCUCACGCACACCUGGAACUCCAGGGCCACGCUGAGCAGCCACCACGGGGAAGAUGAAAAAUUGUAGCACUGGUGGUGCCUAAGUCGUCUGGCCGGGUGCCAGGAGAGUGGCCGGUGGCCGUGAGAUCGCAUGGCGGGGGAUUGCCUUUAUUUGGCAACCAGAGGAAGGCGCGGGAGCAGCUCCCAGCAGAGUACUGGAGGAAGAGACACCAGCUGUGACAUGCUCCAGCCCCCAGUGGUGGGGGGAGAAUGAAAGCCUUCCAAGUGGGGAAGAAGGCCACACACAGCGACCAUGAUGGCGUGAAGAGUGCUCCCCUCCUGAUGCAUGUGUGUGCAGAGUGCAGGCACACAAGCAUCCUGUGUAUGUGUUUAUGCCACCCUCAAGUUUUCUGAUACUUGGACCAAAAAUCAUUCCCAUAGUGCGAACAGAACACAGGAAUAAUAAACCUUGAAAGACAAAAUAGAGAGGCCCAAGUGCAGGUUGGGGAGAAAAAAGAGAAUCUAGAGAGGGGCUCUUGGAGAGGAAGGCCAAAAGGCGCUAUUCAAAAUAAAGGCAAGAUGAGAGUUGUGAAUUAUGAAAUUUCCAAUAGAACAAUGAAAAGACAAAAAAAUAGAAAAUUCCCUUUGGCACUGGGGAGCAGGGCAAAGAGAGGUGACAAGCCUUUGUCAGCCAGAAACCAGGAGAUGCCAUCGAAAGGAGUCCAGUGUAUCUGAAAACACCUAAACUGGGGUGCGGCGCCUUCCGGGGACUUAUUAAGCGGGGGACUUGUUAACUGCAGGUUCUAGUUCCCUAAGUAUCUGUGGUGAGGGUGAGUCUGCCUUUCUAAUGAGCUCAUCCUGGACUGAACUGUGCAGAGCAAGCACCGAAUGACUUGACAGACACGGGCUGCAGGCACCACAGCCCCCAAGCCCGUGUGGAAUGGGAAGGAAAUGGGUGGGGAGGGUGUUAUUGGUGUGGAUCUGUUUAAAACGUGUCUAUUUCAUCUGCCCAGAUAUGUCAGCAUUCUGGGGAAGAACGUGUAUAUUGAGGGAGAACAAACAACCUGAAAGUGGUCUCUGUCUGACCUUCAAUGAAGAUUUUAUUUAAGUCAUGGCAGUGGUGAGCAAUGUCACAGUGAUCAUGACCAUGUGUCUUCUUGAGU